AACCAUUCUCACCUGCGGCUAGACCUGCGGAAGGAUCAUUAUGAGUCUAGCACUCUUCAACCCCUGUGAACCAUACCUAUUUUUCCCCGGCGGAACGCCCCGGUGCCCUAGGGGCCGGGCCAGGCGCCCGCCGGGGGCAACCAGACCGUAUUUGUACCCCUAUACCUCAGAAUUAGGCGUAAAGCCGGAAUGUAACAACUUUCAACAACGGAUCU
rnacentral:misc_RNA from 1 species